rnacentral:rRNA from 1 species
GACGAACGCUGGCGGCGUGCCUAAUACAUGCAAGUAGAACGCGCAGUUUAUACCGUAGCUUGCUACACCAUAAACUGUGAGUUGCGAACGGGUGAGUAACGCGUAGGUAACCUGCCUGGUAGCGGGGGAUAACUAUUGGAAACGCUAGCUAAUACCGCAUAAUAUUGAUUAUUGCAUGAUAAUUGAUUGAAAGUUGCUAUUGCCUCACUACCAGAUGGACCUGCGUUGUAUUAGCUAGUAGGUGAGGUAACGGCUCACCUAGGCGACGAUACAUAGCCGACCUGAGAGGGUGGUCGGCCACACUGGGACUGAGACACGGCCCAGACUCCCACGGGAGGCAGCAGGAGGGAAUCUUCGGCAAGGGGCGGAAGUCUGACCGAGCAACGCCGCGUGAGUGAAGAAGGGUUUCGGGUCGUAAAGCUCUGUUGUAAGAGAAGAACGGGUGUGAGAGUGGAAAGUUCACACUGUGACGGUAUCUUACCAGAAAGGGACGGCUAACUACGUG